CCGCGCAUGGAGAGCGUGUAGAGCGGCCGCGCAUUGGCGGGCGGCGGCUCGUCGCGCUCGACCAACUGCAGCACCGCCGUCGGACCCAGCACCCUGCAAACGACAAUAUCAUUAAGACGCAGUUAAGGGCCCGGUGGUAAGGAGUCCGGAAACUAUGGCAGCCCUGCGCGUGACAGCAAGCAUUCGGCGGCGCCGAUGUGUGACAUCACGGGAUGCCACAGCAUAUCCCGACAGUCGGUUUACGUGUCGUUAUAGAAAUAGUCUAUGAGAUACUUCGGUUUACAUCGAUGUAAACAAUUGUUUCGAUUGAAAUAACUAUCAUGUUGGAUAUGUCUUAAUUAUAUUAGUGUUAAUUAAUCAAGUGCAACGAAUACUUCUGCAUCUUAUCUUUGAACAAGAACGGCGACAUCAUUCAUUAUUCGUUUGGGGAACAUUAACCACAAUUUCGAGUUUGCGAUGAUGUUGGGCGCAAUGAAAAUCACCCGAUCUAGCAGUUCCACAAUUUUCUUGAAAUAACCGAUGGUAGACCGUCUGCCAUAUGGUUAAGUAGUAUCGAAAUAAAUUAAUUUUAUUUCGGUCAAUGAUUUUGUGCAAUUCAACAUUUAGCCUAAUCAAAGUGGUUAGUUAUUACAGUGAAGUCUCACAUGGUUUCUGUAAUUGUCUACAAAGCUUUGUAUAAAAUUACAGGACUGAGACUUCACUGGAAUACUACUACUGUAAUACAUUAUAAAGCUUUAUAUCCAUUAUAAAGGUUUGUAGAAAAUUACAGGAAUCAUGUAAGACUUCAGUUAAUCAUAUUAGUUUAAGGCAGCUGCUUAACUUUUAAAUAUAAGUAAAAUAAAUAAAAAGCCACGGCUAUGACAUCUUACGGGCCACAUGUUACUACUGGUA